CUCCAGCAUCACCUGGAUGUCGCUGGGCUGCGGCCAGUUUGGGAACUGGGUUAGGCUGAAGUGGAAGCAAUCAAUUUUAGCAGGGACCAAGAGGGCUUUAAUACUCACAGCGCUGAGGAUUCGCGCCCUGUGUGGUUUGCUCUGAUCUCUCAGUGGAUAAACGCCCUGGGGAAUCUGACUGUGAUUAACUGAAGCAGGCAGCUCUGGAUUUUUGGGCUGUCUGGGGUUGCACUGCUCGCAGGCACGGUGCAAUCACCCAGCGUGGCUGCGGGUGGCUGAGAUGGGAUCAGCUCCAGGUGGUGGUGAAAUCUUGGGGCACUGCGUGGUCUGGCACAAAACCUUGCCGGGGGAGACUGGAACAGCAGAGUUUGCUCGUGAUGAAUGAUCCCUAAUUUGUUUCUGCUGGAGAAGGAAGAGGAGAACUCACCGAGUGAUGCCCGAUCCAGCUACGAUCCUCACCGAGCUGAUAAUCCUACCAGAAGCACAGAUUUCACCCUGAUGGCUCCCAGCUCCAAAAUGUCACCAGAAGCGCUGAAGAUCUGUGUGGAUGUCUCCUGAUAACGGCAGGAACUUGCAUUAACAACCGCUCAGCUGCAGUCCUGGAAGCUAGAAGGACAUAAAGGUGCAGUGGGAAUUGCGGAGGAGUCAUUUCUGAAUGAAGACAUUUCCGUCCAACAUUUUGGCUUGCUUGAAGUGCAUUGAGUGGAGAGGAAUUGUCCUUGGCCACCUAUAAAAUAUAUAAUCGGUUAAUGUAUGUAAGUAACAAAACUUAUUCUAUUUUUUAAUAUCUUUUAUUAAAACAUAAAAAGAGGGCAGCAAAACCAUAAAACUAGCAAGUUGGACGUGUGUGGUCUGGUACAUGGGGGUCCUCAGAGGGGGGUGACUUGGAGAAGCCAUGGAGCAGUAGGACUCUGCAUUGCUGACACAGAGCAGAAUGCCUUGCAGUAGCCCAGACCCAGCAGGUGGGGCAGGAAGACUCUCCUCUGGGGCGGAGGGUGGAGGUGACGUUAGCCAGACACUGGGGACCCUCCACGACCCAGCUGAGAGAGCUUCUGUUUAUAAAUCAGCAUCCACUUCCCAGGAAAAUGGUUUUGAUGUUGACUUCAGACAUCCUCUCUCUGGGAACAGCCCAGCCUCUGCCUUGCCCCAGAGACAAUAGAAGGAAGACAAGCACAAUGGGCG
ensembl:lncRNA